rnacentral:tRNA from 1 species
UCCCUCAUAGCUCAGUUGGUACAGAAUCUGCCUGCAAUGCAGAAGACCCCAGUUCAAUUCCGGGGUUGGGAA